AUCAUAAGAAAAAUGGUCACCCUUCCCAAACAAAAUGGCCGCUGUGACUAAACAAUCCUCGAGAAAUGGAGUGGAAAAGUACCACCAGACUUGGUCCAGAAUUGGCUGGUACUGAAUGAGUUAAAUAACUCGGGUUGAUGAAGCACAAUGUUUGAGAAAGAUCAGCAAGCUGUGCAGAAGCUCGAUAAUGAUCAUUUUAAUCAUGUGCGCUGAAGUUGGGAAACAUCUAAAACAUGCAGGAUAGUGGCCCUCAAGAACCGAUUUGAUUCGCUCACACACACACACAUCAUUUCAGCUAAUAUAGUGUGAGUACAAGUUACCGGUAUAUAGUGAACUACGUUUUUGCACGGCGUUUCAAAUUCUUGUGCAAAGGAAAAGUCUUUGGACACGCCUGCUCUGAAAUAUAUUAAAACGGCAAAAAGAAAAAUAUAUAAUUUGGCAGACUUUUUUUUUUGUGACCCAAAGGGGAUAUUUGCAACUGACCAUAAUCAUAUCAAAGUAAAUUUGCUUGCUGAAACACAUUAAUAUUCCAGUAAUCAACCUAGGAACAACAAAUACUAUUCACCAGAAGUAUUAAGUCAACAUGAAAAGAGGAACAAAAGGGUUACCGUCAUAGGUACAGUAUAUUUUCCAAAUCCAUUUUUGGUUUGAAUUAAGGGGAAAAUAAUUUUGAUAUUCCUCGAAAGCAAGAAUGGGGAUUUUUUUUUUCUCCCGAUCGGGAACAACUUGUGCAUUAUACACUCAAUACAUUUGGAUAAUUUUCAGUCAUGGCAAUUUGUGAGUUGGAUGAUUUUGAGUUUUAGAGUUCCUCUGAGGGUCAAAAGUUUUGACUUGCCUGGCAGGGCUAAUCAAAUGCUAAUCAAAUGUGCAAAGCGUAGCAUUGCCCACUGUUGCGUCGAAGAAAGGUCCAAAUGACUACAAUUCGUAAAAUGAUAAUGCUUUUAAUGGAGGGCAUCUAGAGGGAAAAAAAAACAACAAAAACGAUCCAGUACUGAUAUGAACAAAGGGAGCAUGGGUGACUAAAUUGCACAAAAUACAGAAUUACCGAAUAGAGAUGACUAUUUUGCGUAACAUUAAGGGUCCUUUGUAUGAGAGGGGCAACGCAUUUGGGACAAGGUGAUUAAACGUGCAUGUUUAUUUGAAAGCACAAAAAAAAAGUUAUUACUUUGGAGUUUAAAGAUCUCCCAUAAAUAGAAUUUAUUUCUGGAUAACAUGGAGUAUAUUCUCUUCUGCUUCAGGAAACUCAAGUGUCUCCGUGUUAAAACAAUACUUUCUUUACACUUCAGUAUAUUCAAAAUAAAAUAAGGCAGCUUACAUUUUGCCGCAGUCUUGUCUGUGUGAAAAGAGUGAACUCUCUUUCUCUCUAUAAGCACUCGUUUUAUGAGAACCAGGGCAGCAUGCGCUGUGGAACCUGUUCCGGUCAACUGAUGGAACCUCCAGGUCGAGACAUGGCCAACAUGGUCCGGUUUGUGGAGAAAAUGAUGGCAGGUGGACGGGUUCAGUAUCGCGGUGUUUUGUCACACGUUGAACAGGGGCAACCGGCAGGAGGGUGGCAAAAAAAAUGCUAACAAUGGGAGCUUUGAUCAUUUCAUGAGUUUGCAUAGCAAACUGUACAUAGCUAGCUAGUGCUGCCACAAUGUAAAGCCACAAACGACAAUAUACACAUUUACAAAUUUACAAAAGGAGGAA